UACGUAGGGCGCAAGCGUUGUCCGGAAUUAUUGGGCGUAAAGAGCUCGUAGGUGGUCUGUCGCGUCUGCCGUGAAAACCCGAGGCUUAACCUCGUGGCUUGCGGUGGAUACGGGCAGACUAGAGGUAGGUAGGGGAGAAUGGAAUUCCCGGUGUAGCGGUGAAAUGCGCAGAUAUCGGGAGGAACACCGGUGGCGAAGGCGGCGACCUGGGACGAUACUGACGCUGAGGUGCGAAAGCGUGGGGAGCAAACAGG
rnacentral:rRNA from 1 species